UUUUACUCAGUGGUAGAGUAAAGCCAUGGUAAGGCGUAAGUCAUCGGUUCAAAUCCGAUAAUGGACU
rnacentral:tRNA from 1 species